GACGAACGCUGGCGGCGUGCUUAACACAUGCAAGUCGAACGGGCCCGCCCCUGUUUUUGGGGGUGGGUUGAGUGGCGAACGGGUGAGUAUCACGUGAGUAACCUGCCCCCUGCUCCUGGAUAACUGCUUGAAAGGGCGGCUAAUACGGGGUGUGCCGGCUGGUCCGCAUGGGCCUGGUCGGGAUAGUUUCAUCUUCGGGUGUUUCGGUGGGGGAUGGGCUCGCGGCCUAUCAGCUUGUUGGUGGGGUGAUGGCCCACCAAGGCGGUGACGGGUAGCCGGCCUGAGAGGGUGGGCGGCCACACUGGGACUGAGCCACGGCCCAGACUCCUGCGGGAGGCAGCAGUGGGGGGUAUUGCACAAUGGGCGGAAGCCUGAGGCAGCGACGUCGCGUGAGGGAUGGAGGCCUUCGGGUGGUGAACCUCUUUCUCCGGUGGUGAAGGCCCUGUCCGUUGCGGCGGGGUUGACGGUAGCCGGGUAUGAAGCGCCGGCUAACUACGUG
rnacentral:rRNA from 1 species